rnacentral:rRNA from 1 species
UGGGCGUAAGGGCUCGCAGGCGGUUUCUUAAGUCUGAUGUGAAAGCCCCCGGCUCAACCGGGGAGGGUCAUUGGAAACUGGGAAACUUGAGUGCAGAAGAGGAGAGUGGAAUUCCACGUGUAGCGGUGAAAUGCGUAGAGAUGUGGAGGAACACCAGUGGCGAAGGCGACUCUCUGGUCUGUAACUGACGCUGAGGAGCGAAAGCGUGGGGAGCGAACAGGAUUAGAUACCCUGGUAGUCCACGCCGUAAACGAUGAGUGCUAAGUGUUAGGGGGUUUCCGCCCCUUAGUGCUGCAGCUAACGCAUUAAGCACUCCGCCUGGGGAGUACGGUCGCAAGACUGAAACUCAAAGGAAUUGACGGGGGCCCGCACAAGCGGUGGAGCAUGUGGUUUAAUUCGAAGCAACGCGAAGAACCUUACCAGGUCUUGACAUCCUCUGACAACCCUAGAGAUAGGGCUUUCCCUUCGGGGACAGAGUGACAGGUGGUGCAUGGUUGUCGUCAGCUCGUGUCGUGAGAUGUUGGGUUAAGUCCCGCAACGAGCGCAACCCUUGAUCUUAGUUGCCAGCAUUCAGUUGGGCACUCUAAGGUGACUGCCGGUGACAAACCGGAGGAAGGUGGGGAUGACGUCAAAUCAUCAUGCCCCUUAUGACCUGGGCUACACACGUGCUACAAUGGACAGAACAAAGGGCUGCGAGACCGCAAGGUUUAGCCAAUCCCACAAAUCUGUUCUCAGUUCGGAUCGCAGUCUGCAACUCGACUGCGUGAAGCUGGAAUCGCUA